UGGUUGACCUCGGAUCAGGUAGGGAUACCCGCUGAACUUAAGCAUAUCAA
rnacentral:rRNA from 1 species